CUGUCUGAGGCAGCAACAUUGUCAUCUCAGAGAGCCGCGUCAUCAUCUGGGAGAGCUGCGUCGUCACCUGAGGCAGCCAACUAAGUGGAACAGUCAGAAGUCAUCUGCCGCAAUGGCGGGAAAAAAAAGGCCUAGCAGCACUACUUCAAGAAAAAAAAGGCAGCAAAGAAAAGGACACCAUUAUGCACAUCUCCUGUCCCGACAACAAAGAAAAUCAGAAGGGAAGACUUCACUGACUCUGAAGAUGAGGAUGAUGGUGGUGUAGUGCCUCAAGCCAUUUAUAAGGAACUGCAAAAAAAAAGAAAAAUUACAGCCGUUCCCAGAGAAAGACAAAGGAAAUGGAAGAUGAGCUACAGCACCUCAAAACGAAAUCUGCGGUUCUUAUCGGUCCAGAAGCUCCAGCAGUGUCGAACCACACUGGAGCCUCUUAUUAAGUUGGCUCGCGGCGAUGGAGCUAUCAGACACGCCAUCGCUUUUUCAUCGCUCUCACCGAGUGGCACGGCUCAGAGUGUGUUCAAAGGAGGGGAAAAUGCAUGCAAAAAAAAUAAAAUAAAAAAAUCUGUAGUCUCAUCCUCUUUUCCCCUUCGUCUUUCUUUUCUUCUACCCGAUCAUUAGUGGGCCUUUGACGGGACAGACACCCCUCUUGCUGAAUCAGGACUUUUAAGUAAAAUCAAUCUUCAAAUCUCAAACUUGCAACAAAAGCUGACAGCGGCAUGUUCAGAGCUGCACUUAUCUCAGAAGUAGUAGAUUUCUUUCUUAGUAUUCUGACAGUGAUGGUAGAGCUUGUCCAACUGUGCAGAGCAGGGAAGUAACACACAUGAAAAGCAGGAAUCAUAAGCUGCUGCUCCAUCAAACCAUUUUCUUUUCAUUUCCUCUGACGUUUCUCUAAUGACUCUUAUUAAUUAAUAAAGAAAAAUGGACAAGAAAAUUCUGAAGUUGGUUAUCUGUUGAUCUGAAGGCUCCAACAAAGUUUGAAUCAGUUAUAAGUUUACUUAUUUUUAAAGUAAUUCUUCCUCGAUUACAGGUAACAAUGGAUAAAAAAAACAUAGC